GGGGAAUAUUGCACAAUGGGGGGAAACCCUGAUGCAGCGACGCCGCGUGAAGGAAGAAGUAUUUCGGUAUGUAAACUUCUAUCAGCAGGGAAGAAAAAAGACGGUACCUGACUAAGAAGUCCCGGCUAACUACGUGCCAGCAGCCGCGGUAAUACGUAGGGGGCAAGCGUUAUCCGGAUUUACUGGGUGUAAAGGGAGCGCAGGCGGCAGGGCAAGCCAGAUGUGAAAAUACGGGGCCCAACCCCGUAAGUGCAUUUGGAACUGUCCGGCUGGAGUGUUGGAGAGGUAAGCGGAAUUCCUAGUGUAGCGGUGAAAUGCGUAGAUAUUAGGAGGAACACCAGUGGCGAAGGCGGCUUACUGGACAAUAACUGACGCUGAGGCUCGAAAGCGUGGGGAGCAAACAGG
rnacentral:rRNA from 1 species